AACGAACGCUGGCGGCAGGCCUAACACAUGCAAGUCGAGCGGAUGAGUGGAGCUUGCUCCAUGAUUCAGCGGCGGACGGGUGAGUAAUGCCUAGGAAUCUGCCUGGUAGUGGGGGACAACGUUUCGAAAGGAACGCUAAUACCGCAUACGUCCUACGGGAGAAAGCAGGGGACCUUCGGGCCUUGCGCUAUCAGAUGAGCCUAGGUCGGAUUAGCUAGUAGGUGAGGUAAUGGCUCACCUAGGCGACGAUCCGUAACUGGUCUGAGAGGAUGAUCAGUCACACUGGAACUGAGACACGGUCCAGACUCCUACGGGAGGCAGCAGUGGGGAAUAUUGGACAAUGGGCGAAAGCCUGAUCCAGCCAUGCCGCGUGUGUGAAGAAGGUCUUCGGAUUGUAAAGCACUUUAAGUUGGGAGGAAGGGCAGUAAGUUAAUACCUUGCUGUUUUGACGUUACCAACAGAAUAAGCACCGGCUAACUUCGUGCCAGCCGCCGCAGUAAAAC
rnacentral:rRNA from 1 species